UACGAAGGGGGCUAGCGUUGUUCGGAAUUACUGGGCGUAAAGCGCGCGCAGGCGGUUCUUCAAGUCAGUGGUGAAAGCCCGGAGCUCAACUCCGGAAUUGCCAUUGAAACUGUAGAACUUGAGGAUGAGAGAGGUGAGUGGAAUUCCCAGUGUAGAGGUGAAAUUCGUAGAUAUUCGCAAGAACACCAGUGGCGAAGGCGGCUCACUGGCCCGUUACUGACGCUGAGGCACGAAAGCGUGGGGAGCAAACAGG
rnacentral:rRNA from 1 species